AGCGGCGGACGGGUGAGUAACGCGUGGGGAACCUGCCCUGUACAGGGGGAUAACACUUAGAAAUAGGUGCUAAUACCGCAUAAGCGCACAGUAUCGCAUGAUACAGUGUGAAAAACUCCGGUGGUACAGGAUGGACCCGCGUCUGAUUAGCUGGUUGGCGGGGUAACGGCCCACCAAGGCGACGAUCAGUAGCCGGCCUGAGAGGGUGAACGGCCACAUUGGGACUGAGACACGGCCCAAACUCCUACGGGAGGCAGCAG
rnacentral:rRNA from 1 species